AUUGAACGCUGGCGGCAUGCUUUACACAUGCAAGUCGGACGGCAGCACAGAGAAGCUUGCUUCUUGGGUGGCGAGUGGCGAACGGGUGAGUAACAUAUCGAAACGUACCGAGCAGUGGGGGAUAACUAAUCGAAAGAUUAGCUAAUACCGCAUAUUUUCUGAGGAAGAAAGCAGGGGACCUUUGGGCCUUGCGCUGUUUGAGCGGCCGAUAUCUGAUUAGCUAGUUGGUGGGGUAAAGGCCUACCAAGGCGACGAUCAGUAGCGGGUCUGAGAGGAUGAUCCGCCACACUGGGACUGAGACACGGCCCAGACUCCUACGGGAGGCAGCAGUGGGGAAUUUUGGACAAUGGGCGCAAGCCUGAUCCAGCCAUGCCGCGUGUCUGAAGAAGGCCUUCGGGUUGUAAAGGACUUUUGUCAGGGAAGAAAAGGGCGGGGUUAAUACCCCUGUCUGAUGACGGUACCUGAAGAAUAAGCACCGGCUAACUACGUG
rnacentral:rRNA from 1 species